rnacentral:rRNA from 1 species
GUAGGGAGCUUGCUCCCUACAAGAGUGGCGCACGGGUGCGUAACGCGUAUGCAACCUACCUGUAACAGGGGGAUAGCUCACCGAAAGGUGAAUUAAUACCGCAUAAUAUCACGAAGAGGCAUUUCUUUGUGAUCAAAACUCCGGUGGUUACAGAUGGGCAUGCGUGUCAUUAGCUAGUUGGUGAGGUAACGGCUCACCAAGGCGACGAUGACUAGGGGAUCUGAGAGGAUGACCCCCCACACUGGUACUGAGACACGGACCAGACUCCUACGGGAGGCAGCAGUAAGGAAUAUUGGACAAUGGGGGCAACCCUGAUCCAGCCAUGCCGCGUGCAGGAAGACGGCCCUAUGGGUUGUAAACUGCUUUUGUCGGGGAAGAAACCCUUCUACGUGUAGGAGGUUGACGGUACUCGAAGAAUAAGGAUCGGCUAACUCCGUGCCAGCAGCCGCGGUAAUACGGAGGAUCCAAGCGUUAUCCGGAUUUAUUGGGUUUAAAGGGUGCGUAGGUGGCUUUGUAAGUCAGUGGUGAAAGUUUUCAGCUUAACUGGAAAAUUGCCAUUGAUACUGCAGGGCUUGAGUUCAGAUGAGGUAGGCGGAAUGUGUCAUGUAGCGGUGAAAUGCAUAGAUAUGACACAGAACACCGAUUGCGAAGGCAGCUUACUAAACUGAAACUGACACUGAGGCACGAAAGCGUGGGGAUCAAACAGGAUUAGAUACCCUGGUAGUCCACGCCCUAAACGAUGAUCACUCGAUGUGUGCGAUAUACAGUACGCGUCCAAGCGAAAGCGUUAAGUGAUCCACCUGGGGAGUACG